GUCUAGGUUUAUUUUUUUGGCAAUCAGAAUCUGCAUCUCUUGGAAUCAGUCGCCGUAACCCUUUGGUAUCCAUCCCAUCCGAUCAAACUUUCUGUAACGGAAUAAUUGUCAUAAACAGUGUUAUUAACUGCAUCUCUCCACUCCUUCCACGAAUUCCCAUUUAGGGCAGCCCUCCUUUCUUCCACUCGGUGAAUCUGCUAUAAGUAUGUUAGUUUGCAUCCAGGAAAUUCAUCAUUUUAUUUCUCACAAUUAUCAUGUCGUGUAAAGCUGAGAUUGAUAGGGUGGCUGGCCGAUUCAUGGAUGUUUUCAGCAUCAUUGACCUAAGUGGGAAACAAAGUCAUCAACAAAAUCGUUCUUGAAUAUCUCCACCAAGUGGAACCAGGAGCUGAAGUUCCUGUGAACCAAAAACCACAGAUUCUUCUCUCAAUAAGACUUGGAUGGAUCGGAAACUGGAGCAGUUAGAGAUUACUAUGAAUGUGAGAAUGUUGGGGAUGAGGAUACAGGAAGGUUAUGGAGGGAGGGAUCAUGUCAUACAUUAAAACACACAGGCUCAUCAUGUUUAUUUAUUUUUUCUUCUCAAACCCUGUGUUGAAUUCUAACAGUUGUAUUCGCAUUCAUAGUCACAGAGAUUCAAAUAUAAAUUACUAUUGUCGUCA